rnacentral:tRNA from 1 species
GGAGAAAUGGCCGAGUGGUCUAAGGCGCACGCCUGGAAAGUGUGUAUACUUCAAAAGGGUAUCGAGGGUUCGAAUCCCUCUUUCUCCG